AGACAAGCACAGCGCAUUUGUCUUUGGGCAUCAUGCAAGUUUUCACACCGUGCUAAGGAGCUUGGGCAUUAGAGUCUUCAGUGCUGGUGGGCGAUGGGAGGUGAUGAGAACACCUCUGACACUACAAGGAGCAGAACCUCCCAGAAACCCAGGCCGUGGUCCUGGGGUCCCAGUUCCUACUCUGAUCUCUGGUGUCUGCUGCCUGGUACUAUGGGGUUCUCUGCCUCAACUCAUUUUAGCUUCUGACGGCACGAGGAGAAUAAAAGCAGCAAAGCUGAAAAGACAAGCAGAAAGUGGCAGUUAUGAGCCUGAGAAGAUUUCAACAAAGAUGAGCAAAGAUUUCAACAGUCUCACAGCACUGGGAAGACAAGGCUUUGGGUUCAGGGCCUGUCUGUGAGGAGGGACCCUGGAAAGAUCUCCAGGCUGUCAGGUGGAACCCAAGAG
rnacentral:lncRNA from 1 species